AACGCCCCACGAGACUUUUACGAUUAAUUGCUGUAUAAAUAAAUAGGACUUGACUAAUUGACUCGGUUAGAAGUUACCAGAUCCUGACGUUCAAUAUUGAUUUGAUUGCACUUGCGCCGUGCUUGCAUUCUAUUUAAAUACGCAACAUGAGCAUGCGACAAAAGAAAGUUACUUGUCGUACAGUUAAAUAGGCUUUGAGCAAAUGUAUGGUAUGUAAUGCUAGAUAAAAAAAACAAGCAAAAAAAACCCACUUUAAUUAAUUAUCCCCAGAUUUAGUAUGUUAUCAUUAAUUUUGGAAUUUCACAAACGAUUUUAGGAAUUGAUUAACCAAAAUGCUGCAGUGCACAGGCCCUGGAUCAACUCCAUCCAUCCAGAGGUUUCUAUGUCAUACGCACUUUUUAUUCCCGACGUAAACAAAGCUUUCUGGGUGUAGUUUGCUUAACGAACACCAAGGGGCGCUGUUUGCUUCAAAUCGUUUACCAAGCCCAAAUUUGCAUGAAGGGAAUCGGAUCCUUUUAUUUGUUUGAGCGCACCGACAUUUAACACUGGGCAUCAGUUUUAAAAAGAAAUGCACGUGACGUCAUAGCUCAAUAAUGACGACAUAACACAGUAAAAACACAACAAAAGAAGCUAUUGUAUUAUUAAAGCUAAACAGCAAAAGAAGGGAUAGGAAUAGUAAUCUGACUUUAUUUUUAUAGCGCUUUCGCCAUAACAAAGCGCUUCAUAAGAACAUAAGAUGUAAAAAUACAGUAGAAAUAUCACAUAAACAUCAUAUGGACUUUAUAACCAUCAUACAUAUGCGUUGUUGCUUGAGAAGGUAAAUAUGUAGGAUGAUAACAACAAGACAAGCUUGUCACUAUGACAUUCUCUCAACAUUCAACAUUUAAAGUUAGCAGUAGUUGCUGACAUUAAAAUAAAAACACCAGAAUUUACAAGUGCGUCAGAACCUGCCAUUGUUUCUGGACAAGGGUCAUUUUGGCUAGUUCAAGACUUUGAGGCCGCAAUUUGCUGAGCUUUGAGGAAGUGAAGUGUUGAAAUCCACCGCGCACUGUUUGAAAUGUUUUGGAAUAAUAACAGGUUUUCCUCUGGAAUCUGCAAAGGGAGGGGGGGGGGGGGGUGUCACUAAUACUUGUUGUUUUCAUUGACAGUGUUCAUAUUUGGGACAGGAGCCGGUGAAAGCAGAUGAGACGAGGUUUGAAUUUAACACAGGAUGAGGAGCCCACGGUCAUGGAGUUUUCCACCUGGAGUGGACGUUGUGGUUUCGGCCAGAUGAGGCUUCCUCAUCUUCCUUCUCCUUGGUAGUUGUGAUGUGUUCUUCCCGUCACCAGCUACUAAAUGUGCCUGCAUGUGUGUUUGUGCGUGCUGUGUAGCUCCAGCGAGCCGGCAACACGAGUUUUAACAUGGAUGCUGAAGAUGUACCACAAUUGUUUUGAUAGGAUGCGGCUCCAGCUGAAAUCGGGCCGACCCGAGGGUUAAACGGCACGCUCUUCUGGAAGCUACAAUGGUCGAGCACGGAUGUUUGAUCGAGAACUGUGGGAGCAUGGCUUUUUUUUUUUUUUGCCACACGAUCUGGAAGGUGACUACAGUCACAUCUGAUCUCGUACGGCCUCAGGUGACGCCAUGUUUGUUCACGCCUUCGUCGCGUGGGUGUGUCUGACAAGAAGGACAAAGUUGGUAGCGCUCGAGUGGAGAGGCGGAGGGAGUCAAGCACGGAUGAAAAACCGGUCGAGGUCCCGCUCUGCAAUUAGAUAACAGAUUGGCGUCUGUGGUCAUGUGACAUGUUUUCACCUCGCAGGGCUGCUGGGAUUUGCUCAAAUUCUUUCUAAGACGCAUUUGUUCCUGCGUAGUUCGACGAGGCGGCGGUGGUGACGCAGUUCUUUCUGGGCUGGACUUCUCGUCACCUUGUUUGGCUCGCUCCCACUUCCUCUCUCUGUCUGUCUCUCUCUCUCUCUUUCUCUCUCUCUCGCUGUAUCAUGGAGAGGAGCAGUGGGAGGGGCUAAAUGUCACAUCUCAGGAUGAGGGAGAGAAAGCGCUGGAGCUAAAGGGAGAAGGCAAGGGAAGCUGUUAACCCUGCUGUCCUGUUGAUUCUGCUUUGGUUUCACUCCCGUUCAAUUCCUAAAAUCGUGGCCGCAUCACACGCCGCGGUGCAAAACGGCGCUCUUGUUGGAUCCGAGUCGCCAUGCUGGCUUUCCGAGGUGCGUAGCGCAGCACAAUUGGGUGGCUGAUGGAGUUCAGCCAUCGAUUGAUCUAGAAUCACUUCUUUCAGUGAAAGGUUUUGAACUUUGAGAGACGCCUGGAGUCCAGGGGCGUAGUCAGAGAAUUUUUCUCUAGGGUGGCCUGAGUGGCCAUACCGUUUGCAUUUUUAUAACCACCUUUGGAACAGAAAAGUCGGGAGCAUACCAUCCACAGGAAAGGUCUCAUCAAGUGCCCACGUAUGCAGAAUCUUGCCCAACAUGCUCAUAAUACAAGCAGAGACAAAAGCAACAUUUUGCUGGCAUUCAUUUAUUGAAUAAUGCCAUUUUCUUUGCCACUGCUGUACUUAUAGUCUACCUUAUCUCAUACACUGAUUCGCUCGUCAUUUGUCACUGAUGGCCGACAACAUUUUGCAUACUACAGUUAACGUCUCAUUCAUUCAAAUCAUGUCUAGGAAGCACAAUGACUUAAAUAUUCACAAUUGUAAACAUUGCUUUGAACUCUGGUCUGUUUUUGCUUGUAUUACAAGUAUCUUGCAUUAUUUGAUCCAUCUGUGAAUUGUAUUUCAGUAUGUCAAAAGCUUCUACUGGAUGUGAUGCUGGCCCUGGCCACCAUGUAGCUCCGCCCUGCUAAUUUAUGAUACUACAUUUGAAACCUAUUGUCUUUCAGUUUCCUUGUAUCCUUGUUUAAGUCCUGACUUGAAUGAGAUCGAGGCAGCUGAGUUGUGUUUGCAAAGUCAUUGUGGUCAUACGUAACUAGAAGGGCGUAAAGUAGAGUCGACUCUCAACUUUGACUUUGAACUAGGUACGCAUUUGUAUAAACUGGAUUCUGCCUUUGCCACGGUCCCAUUUUGACCGCCGGCCUCACUACGAAGGCCUGCUGUCUCUUUAAAUGUUUUAUAAGCGUUACACAACAGGUCCAGUCGCACACAAACAUCAAGCAGGCACAACGGAGCGUGAUAGUCGUGUACAGUCAGCCAGGCGAAGAAGCCGGUCACAUAUACAUUGUUAUCUGUGCGGCAAUUAUGUAAACACGCAUAAUAUAGUGUAUAUGACCUCGCAAACAAGUCAAAAAGAAAAAGGCUUGGCCUGUUACAUCUGAUGCGUGAUAAGUACCCUUUUGACUUUCAUCUUACUGUGAAAAUAAAUAGCCGAUGUUUUUAGGUUGACUUGCUUUACUUCCUUUGUUUGACUUUGAGCGGUGUUUAAACCGAGAGCUAUUUGAGGGAGUCGUCGCUCAACGCACACAAAAUAGACAGUGCUUGUAGGCGUGUUUUCAGAAGGGAUUGUUUAUCAGUAGUCCUUUUAGAAAGAGGUGAGUUGAUUAACAUUUUGAAGCCACUCGGUGUGCUGACGAUACCUGGGCUGGUCCCCCCCUUCUCUCACUAUGUUAUUGAGUGUGCAUCAUGGCUCCUGUUGCCAACAUUGAUUUGUACUUCCUUGUGAUCGCAGAGACUGGAAAGCUUCGCUCAUUCAUCUUGUUGAUUUGCCUUCUUGAUCAUCCUACGCCCCUCUGCUCUAACUUUUUAUCCUGCUCUGUCGCAAUUCUGGUAAAGUUGACUCCCAUCGCAAAUAGAUGGAAUCACACAGACUACCCCCCCCCCCCUAAAAUGUCAGUUUCUAUUUUAGAUCAAAACAUAAUCAGGUUCAGAAUUCCAUCUUUUAUUUUUAACAUUUCAAUUUGUAAAUAGUAGCUGGAAUUUUGAAAUUAUACAAAUAAAACAAAGGGAUUUACCUUGCCGUUCCAAUACUUUUGGGCCGGACUGAAGAGUUAGAUCAUGGUAUUAUUACAUUUCUUGCCACUAGUGUCCAUCUGCAGCUCCCAUUUAAAUAUGUCUGUUGAGAAAACAGCCAAAGGUGGUUAACCAAAAGCUUCAAAGUUGCACUUUCUGGUGCCUGUGGGAAUUUAUUUGGUUUACAAAGACCACCUCCCACUCAGAGGUUUGCUAGUUUGCUCUUUAAGUGUGUCUGAUAAAGCAAAUCACGAAUCUUUUUUGUAUUAGUUGGCUAUUUUGUCAUUGUUGUAAUUCUUCAAGGUUCAAGAGUGACUGUUUUUACCACAUUCUAGGAUGUUUCUUGUCUGAAAUUCCCCCCUUGGAAGCUGGCUUCAGAUGGUGGCUUAGAGUAUUGUCAUCUAUCUAGCACCAUUUGAAAUCAGUGUUCUUGGGGUGGGAGGUGAGUCACCUGCCAGUAAAAGUCAGCAGUGCCGGGAAAAGUUCCACUCAAUCAGCAUCAAGUGGCCAGUGAUGUUUUGGCAGCCGGAGCCCUUUGUCCUUUUUCCAAGGUUGACCGGUUUCUUCUGGUGCUCAGAGUCUGCUCUUGUUUCUAGCACCAUUUGAAAUCGGUUACAGUGAAGGACGCAUCUCGUCGCACCUUGAACCAAUGGAAACGUCAACAUUACUCUGAUAACUGAUUCAGACCAAGUUAGACUUCAUCCACACACAUUUGAUGACGUGGACUUCAAUAUGAUUGAAAACUGGAUUCAGCAGUUUUAAUAUUCAUUUAACACAAAAAUGUCUGCUAUUCAUACAAUCAAUUUGAACUAAUGUGUAAACAGUAAUAAAAUUAUGUUUGCCAGUGA